rnacentral:lncRNA from 1 species
GGCCGCUCCGCUGUCUGUCUUUCCUCCAGCGUCCCGAGGGCGAAUGCCUCUGCCUUGACAUGUGCCUGGCUGUGUGAUCUCUUCACAUCUCUUCACAUGUACGCUUGCCUCACCUAUGUCCUGGAUCCUUUGGACCGCAUUCUAGAUGUUUCCAAUUUCCAGGCCAUUCCCCAAUUUUCGACUCUGAUGAGAGACAACACAUGCAGGGAUGGCUGUUUCGGUAAAGUAAGGCGUGGGUCUUGUGGCCCCUGUUCUAGAAUGUCAGAGAUGUCACUAAGAGGAGACGAAUUCCAGAGGGAUUGUGAAUGGGACGAUUGAAGACCUGCUUUGAUUGACAGGUCUUCCUCUCUCUCUCUGCCCUCGGGCUGAUUGACAAUGCGGUUCAUCUCACAUUUUGUGACCGAACUAAUCCAGUAAAUUCCUACCAGACGGUUCAACAUCUCAGAGGAGGCAGUUCUUUUCCAGGUGGAGUUUUGGGGGCUCCCAAAAUAAAUAUGUUUUUUUUUUCCA